rnacentral:rRNA from 1 species
UACGUAGGGGGCAAGCGUUGUCCGGAUUUAUUGGCGUAAAGAGCGUGUAGGCGGCUUUACAGGUCCGUUGUGAAAACUCGAGGCUCAACCUCGAGACGCCGGUGGAAACCGUAAAGCUAGAGUCCGGAAGAGGAGAGUGGAAUUCCUGGUGUAGCGGUGAAAUGCGUCAGAGUAUCGGAGGAACGAACCAGACGGCGGACGG